rnacentral:rRNA from 1 species
UACGAAGGGGGCUAGCGUUGCUCGGAAUUACUGGGCGUAAAGCGCACGUAGGCGGUCUUUUAAGUCGGGGGUGAAAUCCUGGAGCUCAACUCCAGAACUGCCUUCGAUACUGGAAGACUUGAGUCCGGGAGAGGUGAGUGGAACUGCGAGUGUAGAGGUGAAAUGCGUAGAUAUCGGGAGGAACACCUGUGGCGAAAGCGGCUCACUGGACCAUAACUGACGCUGAUGCACGAAAGCUGGGGGAGCAAACAGG